GAUGAACGCUGGCGGCGUGCCUAAUACAUGCAAGUCGAACGGAGGAUUUAGCAAUAGAUCCUUAGUGGCGAACGGGUGAGUAACGCGUUGGUGACCUGCCCCGAAGCGGGGGAUAACAGUUCGAAAGGGCUGCUAAUACCCCAUGUGUUCAGUCUGUUUAGAAAAGGCUGAAGAAAGGAGAAAUUCGCUUUGGGAGGGACCUGCGUCCCAUCAGCUAGUUGGUGAGGUAACGGCUCACCAAGGCGACGACGGGUAGGGGACCUGAGAGGGUGGCCCCCACAAUGGAACUGAAACACGGUCCAUACACCUACGGGUGGCAG
rnacentral:rRNA from 1 species